ACACUCUGCUCCCCGACACUCUGCAACAGAAAAGUCACCACAUGGAAAUGCAAUGAAUCGCAGGUGCCAGCAGACCUCCGUUCUCACGGCAGCCUUCGCAUCAUCCAGCAGACGCGUGCUUACCGAGUGAGCGCUGUGCGCUUCCAGUCGAGAGGGGGAACCUACGCCUAACUCAAAAGUACCAACACAACACUAACCUAUGCCUAACACUAAAGUAAGAACAGCAACCUACGCCUAACUCUAAAGUAACAACAACAACAACAACAAUCUACUCCUAACACUAACAUAACAACAAGAACCCCUACCUAACUCUAAAAUACAAACAACAACCUACUCCUACCACUAGAACUAAACUAAACACUAACGUCAACAACAAGAACCCCUACCUAACUCUAAAAUACAAACAACAACCUACUCCUACCACUAAAACUAAACUUAACACUAACAUCAACAACAAGAACGGGGACGGGGACAGAACGGGGCUCAGAGGGGACUGGGGGCCCGCAGAACUCGGCGCCAGAGGAGGACCAGGUGGUAAGCAGUGCCACCCAG
rnacentral:lncRNA from 1 species